AGAGUUCGAUCCUGGCUCAGGAUGAACGCUGGCGGCGCGCCUAACACAUGCAAGUCGAACGGUUAAAGCCCCUUCGGGGGUGCAUAGAGUGGCGAACGGCUGAGUAACACGUGGGCAACCUGCCCCCCGCACCGGGACAGCCUCGGGAAACCGUGGUUAAUACCGGAUACUCCGCCACCCCCGCAUGGGGGCGGCGGGAAAGCCCAGGCGGAGGGGGAUGGGCCCGCGGCCUGUUAGCUCGUUGGCGGGGUAACGGCCCACCAAGGCGAUGAUGGGUAGCCGGGUUGAGAGACCGACCGGCCAGAUUGGGACUGAGACACGGCCCAGACUCCUACGGGAGGCAGCAGUGGGGAAUCUUGCACAAUGGGCGAAAGCCUGAUGCAGCGACGCCGCGUGCGGGACGAAGGCCUUCGGGUCGUAAACCGCUUUCAGCAGGGACGAGGCCGCGAGGUGACGGUACCUGCAGAAGAAGCCCCGGCUAACUACGUGCCAGCAGCCGCGGUAAUACGUAGGGGGCGAGCGUUGUCCGGAAUUACUGGGCGUAAAGGGCACGCAGGCUGUGCUUCAAGUCAGCUGUAAAAGGAUGCGGCUUAACCGUGUUAUGCGGCUGAGACUGAGGUGCUGGAGUACCGGAGAGGCAAGUGGAAUUCCCAGUGUAGCGGUGAAAUGCGUAGAUAUUGGGAAGAACAUCGGUGGCGAAGGCGACUUGCUGGACGGUAACUGACGCUGAGGUGCGAAAGCCAGGGUAGCGAACGGGAUUAGAUACCCCGGUAGUCCUGGCCGUAAACGAUGAAUGCUAGGU
rnacentral:rRNA from 1 species